rnacentral:lncRNA from 1 species
AUUAUUAUUAUUUCAUUUAAUUACUAAAUUCCUUAUUUACUAAAUUUAGGAGUAGCAAUUAUUUAUCAUUUUAUGUUUACUGGAUGGUCAAUCGAAGUUUUUCAUGCACUAUUCCAGUACCGAUAAUAAUUUUUUUAAAACUGUUUCCGCCCACCGUAAAACUUGGUGCUUUUGUGUCGAGUCUCUUUCCUCGAUCACUUCACUUCCUCCUUUUUGUUUACUUAAUGUGUCACCUUUACUUCCUAUUGUCAUUUUUAAAUCAUUAUUUCCCUCUUUUUCUACUAUCGACUUAUCUGUACUUUUUGUCGUUUCAGUUUUCUUUUUUCCUUUAACGUUUGGUUCCGCUUUUUUUUCC